rnacentral:pre_miRNA from 1 species
UGAGGUAGUAGGUUGUAUGGUUGAGAACUACAUCUUUGGGGAGAACUGUACAGCCUGCUAACUUUCCC